AGAUCAUACAAUGCGUUCUUCACUUUGGUGUCUUUUCAACGAAGAUUGAGGAGAAAAAUAGAACCCUAAAUAAUUAAGACUGACUCAUACUUGUCCGCUCACAGCAAUGUUCUACCCACUAACUUAUAACACCUUUAUGAAAAGUCAGAUCCUCUACAUUUCAAUUUCCUAUUACAAUACAGAAGAUGGACAUUUUAGCAGCAAGACUUCAAAGGGGAAAACUUCAGACACAGACUGAGUGCACUUUGCAUUCUGUCAUUUAUAAAAGAGAGACACUAAUGGAUUUAAGCAAGGAAGUGAAAAGAAGGUUUCAUUCUUCACACAGUGACACUGGGUGCCUCGCACAAGCCUUCACACCUCUGCUCUCAGGAAGGGCACAGAACUGGGAGCUGGGGUGCUUCUGAGAAAAAAAGCAGUGAUGCCACACAGUGGCUCCCACCACAUGGCAGGUAUUAUCCUGUUUCUAGGAACUUCCAAGUGAGAUUGGUAGUGUUAGCUCGAGUUCCCUGAUUUAUUAGGGUUUUGUUUUUUUUUGUUUUGUUGUUGUUUUGUUUGUUUUUUUUUUUGAGACAGGGUCUGGCUCUUUCACCCAGACUGGAGUGUGGUGGUGUGAUCACGGCUCACUGUAGCCUCCAACUCCUUGGGCUCAAGUGAUGCUCCUGCCUCAGCCUCCCGAGUAGCUAAGCCUAAACGCAUGCACCGCCAUGCCCAGCUAAUUUUUAAAUGUUUUGUAGAGAUGAGGGCGGGGGAGACAUACUGUGUUGCCCGGGCUGGUCUUGAACUACUGGCCUCAAUCCUCCCACCUCGGCCUCCCAAAGUGCUGGGAUUACAGGCAUGAGCCACCGUGCCAGGCCUGAUUUAUCAUUUUCAGAAAGUAUUUCUUUUUUGCACUCUCCAUGAGGUCUCAGCACAUCACUGUCCUAGACAAGAAAAUGAGGUUCUAUUUUCUGAUAAGCCUAGAGUGAUGUGGCCGACUCAAGCCUCGUCUUGCGCACAGAGCCUUUCUGGGUCAGCCAAGUGUGAACAGCUUUUUUCCUUUGUUACAGGUUCGAUAGUUCUUGGCCUCAUUUGUAGGACUUUGUGUAAUCUGCUCUGUAGUGUGAUUAAAUGUAUAUAUGCUGUCAUUAGAUUUUGAAUACAUAGAAGAAAAAAUUUGCAUCUUUAUCCUUGCUCUAUUUCUCAGAAAAAUGCCUUAAACAACAAUUCCUCAAUACAUAGUUAUUGAAUGUGAAUGUCAAAUGUAUUCUCUAUUAAUAGAUAUAAUUGGUGCCAAACCUAAGAUUUGUGUUUCAAGUUUAAGCCAGGAUAUACACUAUAUCAAUCAGGGGUUCUGAUCACCAGCAACAGAAAUGGAUUCUGAUUAACUUAAGAGGUUAGGAAUUUAUUGGAAGGCUACCAACAGUUGACAGAACCAAUGGAAAGGCCUGGAAAAUUGCCUCGGAAAGUAAGCAAGCACUGCGAGAACAGAAGCCAAGAGCAUCAAGAGUCCAGGGGUCUCCCCCACUGGCAGCCACCUGUUUGUGCACCUGCCAUUGCUGCCCCUGGGCUCCUAACCUUUCUGCCACCAUGUUGAAUAGCCUUCAGGGGCUUCCAUUUCUUGGAGGCACAUCCCAACAUUUCAGAACCAUGAACAGGGGAGCAUGCAAUCAGCUGAGCGUAUAUAUGCGCACAUAUCCUGGCUGCCAGGAAAUGGGGAGGUGAUUUAUCUGCACCCUGUCUCAGGGUAGAACUGCAUACUAGACAGUUUCCCCGAGCUAUGAUGGUAUUAUCAUGUUGGAGAGGGAGAGGAGGAGGAAGGAGAAAGGAGAAGGAGGACAAAGAGGAGGAGGAGGAAGAGAAGGAGAAAAGGAGAAGGAGGAAGAAAAAGAAGGAGAAGGAGGAGGAGAAAAGGAAAAAGAGAAGGGGGAAGAAGGAGAAGGAGAAAAAGGAGGGCAAGGAGAAAGAGAAAGGGAAGAAGGAGGAGGAGGAUGGGGAGUAGGAGGGGGAGGAGGAAGAGGAAGGGAAGGAGAAGAAGAGGAAGGGGAAAGGGAAGAAGGAGAAAAGGGGGUGGGAGCAAGAGGAGAAAGAAUGGCAGUGUCUGCUAGGUUAGGGAAAAAUUUUGAUUUUUGUUAACUAUGAGUUUUUAAAGCAGUUUGCACGAAAAAUUUGCUUUUCACAAAAACAAAUCAACCCUUCUGAACAAAUUUCCCUAAACAUUGAAAUGGUUUUCAUGAGUAGAAACAGGUUCAGUAACUAACUAUAUAAUCUAAGUGACAAAGUCUGUGUUAAUAACACAAACAUUUAAUAAAAUCAAAUGUAAAGUAUAAACACUUUUCAUGUCAAUACUAAGAAAGAGGAAAUUCUCAGAAUAGAAACCAGAAAAUGAGAGAGUGAGUAAUUAGUUCUCAGAGGUUGAAAGGGAAGAACAAUGUAAUACAUAUUCUCUCAUUUUGCUCUACGGGGUGUCUCCACCUGUCUCCCAUUCGGAGAUAAGGGACCGGUUAUGACACUAACAAGUAGGUAUGCGCCAAAAGCAUGUUACUAGCCUAAGAAUAUGAAUGACAAAUCAUGUUGUUUUCCCACAUGGAAUAAAAGUACUUUUCCUAGGGCAGAAAUGAUUUGUUCAUCAUGACCAUAAUGAUCAUCUGUACCAUGCGUCUAGGCUAGAAAUUCACCCCCCACAAACCUUCCAUUUACUCCUAAUUUCCAUGAAUUAGUUAUUUCAAUGCUCCCCAAAUAGUCUAGUUGACUAUAAACCUUUUCAUACUCCUUAAACUACAAUAACCCUUGAUUUUAAAAAUAGAGCCUUGCAUUACUAAUGCUAUACCAAUUUUUAAACACCAUGCUCUGAAAAAAUAAAAGCCUAUUACUGUAAGUUUUAUAUUAAGUUUUUCUGGAAGUGGGUACAUACAAAUAACUGCUGUGCAAUUUCGAUGUACAGGAAUAACAAAAAAUACUUAAAAAUGUUACUCAUCUUGUCCAUAGAAUAUUUAUUCUUCAAUUACUAAUUACACGUAGGACUUUCAAGGUGCAGAAAAUGGGCACUUCUUUGGUAAGCAGUGACACAUGUCAUCAACUCCACAAUUUUACUUUAGGAUCCACAAAGUGGACCGCCACCA
rnacentral:lncRNA from 10 species